UUGAUCCUGGCUCAGAAUGAACGCUGGCGGCGUGCUUAACACAUGCAAGUCGAACGAGAAAUCUUUAGCUUGCUAGAGAAAGUAAAGUGGCGCACGGGUGAGUAACGCGUGGGUAAUCUGCCUCCGAAUCGGGGAUAACAUUGCGAAAGCGAUGCUAAUACCGGAUAAAAUCUGGUUGGCUUCGGUGAACCGGAUCAAAGGUGGUCUCUUUAUAAAAGCUACCGUUUGGAGAUGAGCUCGCGUACCAUUAGCUAGUUGGUGAGGUAAAGGCUCACCAAGGCGACGAUGGUUAGCUGGUCUGAGAGGAUGAUCAGCCACACCGGAACUGGAACACGGUCCGGACUCCUACGGGAGGCAGCAGUGAGGAAUUUUGCGCAAUGGGGGAAACCCUGACGCAGCAACGCCGCGUGAGUGAUGAAGGCUUUCGGGUCGUAAAGCUCUGUCAGGUGGGAAGAACCCACCAAGUGUUAAGACCACUUGGUGCUGACGGUACCACCGAAGGAAGCACCGGCUAACUCCGUGCCAGCAGCCGCGGUAAUACGGGGGGUGCGAGCGUUAUUCGGAAUCAUUGGGCGUAAAGGGCGCGCAGGCGGUUUUGUAAGUCAGAUGUGAAAUCCCGGGGCUUAACCCCGGAAGUGCAUAUGAAACUAUGAGACUUGAGUAUGGGAGAGGGAAGCGGAAUUCCUGGUGUAGCGGUGAAAUGCGUAGAUAUCAGGAGGAACACCGGUGGCGAAGGCGGCUUCCUGGACCAAUACUGACGCUGAGGCGCGAAGGCGUGGGGAGCGAACAGGAUUAGAUACCCUGGUAGUCCACGCAGUAAACGUUGAUCACUAGGUGUAGCGGGUAUUGACCCCUGCUGUGCCG
rnacentral:rRNA from 1 species